GCCGGAUAGGUGGCCGGAUUGCCCUGCAGUUUUGAAAAAAAAUGGCCAACUCUCUGCCUCGAAUCCGGCCAAGAAUCCGGCCGGAAAUCCGGCCAGAUUCCGGCCGGAUUGUGACGUGUCACAGCCGGUCAGAAGCUUUGACCGGCUGUUUCCUUCAUAAAUAUCUUGUUUUUGGUUACUUUUGUCUUCAUUUUGUUUCUGCUCAACCGAGGCUUUGAGAGAGAGGAAAGAAAACUUCAUUCUUCAAGCUUCAAAUUUCUACUCCAUCUUGAGUUUUAACCGUUUGUUUUGCAAGUUGCUCCGAUUAAUCCCUCAUCUAAGUUGAUUGCAAGCCUUUGGUGGAGUUGUUUUGGUUGGAGAGGCUUUAAGGGGCUAUCUUCUUGAACUCAUGAGGUGAGUUGCAAAGAAAGUUGCUAUUUUUGGUUUAAUAAUGGUAUAGUAGUGAUUUGUGGUGGUGAUAUAUGUUAUAUUGUGAAUGAUUUCAUGGGUUUAAGGAAUUUGUGGUGAAUUUCUGAUUUAUUGGGUAUUUUUCUGAUUUUAUAUGGAAGUUAUGAUUUAUGUUGGAUUGAUGGAUUGAAAUGAUGUUAAAUGGAGCCCUUGUACGUUAUUUGCGGUUGUUUGCGGACAAUUUACGUUUGUAGUGAAUUUCCGGUUUCUAGGGUUUCCAAUUGGGAAUUUUCAAUGGUUGGCCUAUAAGCUUUUGAUUGGCUUGGAUUGAAGGAAAUUAUGGUUUAAUUGAAUGUAUGAUAUUGAUUAUGAACCAUAUGGGUGACUAUGGUUAAUUUGUUAUGAGAAUUGGUAUUUGAAUUGUAGGUUUGAAUGUGUAAAAUUAAGGGGUUAUGCCGCCCUAUUCGUGAGAGUAUGUGGUUGUUUUGCAUUUGAUUGAUCUUGAUUCAUAUUAUGGAAAUUCUUGUGAUUUGGACAUUGGGAGGAUUAAGUUCCAUAUUAGUGACAUUUCUAAGCUUUGUUUAAGUUAAUUCAUCCUUGUUUUGGCAUGUACAUGAUUGGUAUAGACUAGUUUCAUGUUAAGUGGGGAUUUCUAGCCCUUAAUUGUUAUUAGUGAUGUUCAUGUGCAAAGAGUGGUUCAAGUAGGGUAAUUUCAGUUUUUCCCUGUUUUUGGACUGAACUUGGACUGUCUUUUUCUCUGUACUGUAGACCGAACCAGCUUUUGCUCAAAACAUGAAUCUUGUAGAUAUAUGAGUUGACUACUUGCCUGCAAAAUUUCAGAUUGAUUGGAGUACUGUAGCUUGUGAAUUGACCGAAAUACCCAUGACUGCCCGUAACCCCUGUUUUAUGACGGAUUUCGCUCUUUCACUUAGAUUUCGAUAUUUGACCCUGAAAUUGUACAUUUUGGCGUUGGAGGUCUUCAUAAGAAAUGUUUACAAAUGUUUUAGCUUCGUAACGCCAUAAGAUGUACUUCGAUCGGAUAGGUGUAGCUUUACUUGUGAUUAAAAUGCCAAAGGCAAUAGAAGCUUGUUCAUGUUGGAAUUUUCCUUUGCUUGUCUUGAUAUUUGGUUUUAGGAUUUCAACUUGAUCAAGAUAAUGAGGUUUGCCGGAUAAGCUUCGUGAGCCGUGCUUGGUGAGUGUAUCACUAAAUGGUUCAUUGUACUUGUUAAAUGUCUUGAUUUGGGUCGAGAGUGUACUUGAUCGCUCUUGACCACUUACUUGCAUUACCAUUGCUAUUUGGCUAUGAAAUUGAAUGUGUACAUGAUUUGACAUUUGAUAGGGCAAUGCCCUACUAUUACUGUGAACUUGAGCUCAUACCCUUAGACCGUUAGUCGAGUCGAGCCGGCAAGGGCUUGGGCGAUUCGUUAACGAGCCUUUGGGUCCUUGAUAGGCGAGUGGAGUGUUAGCUCCUCGACCUUGUGGUAUACUCGAGUAUUACCUUUUGGAACUUUGAGGCGGCGGGCCCGAAUAGGGGUGAACGGUGGAAGGAGAUGGUGAGAAGAGGUGUCUACGGUUCUUGGUUAUCUUCAAUGGUUGACGGAGUGUCAACGAAUACGAUCAAGUAUGGACAUUGGAAACGGCCCUUGAGGGCCGAAUGUAUCCUUUUAUAAAUGAAUGUUUGAAUAAAGGCACUUAUGCGUAUAUGUUAUUUGGCCGCAUCCUGUAUUUGUGCAUUUGGUACCUCACGAGCGUAAGCUCACCCCCGUAAUUUUGUUUUCCUUACAGGGACACUGUUGGACUCAAGUUUUGAAAUGAGUUGAGCUAGUUAUGUAGCUAGUUUUGAGUUGCUCCUCGAAAACUUGAAAUUUUGAUGUAAAUGAAUUCAAGUACUUUUGAAGGGUACAAUUGAACCUUUUUCAUGUAUAUAUGGCAUGUAUAUAUAUGUCCUUAUCAAGUCUUGGAUAAACUGCAUUAUGUGUUUAUGCGAGUACCAGAAUCGAGGCAAAGGAAGCACUUGUAUUAUGUUAAUUGUGUGACUAGAUGGUACAUAAUUUGUAUAGUUUAGAUUUGGAUUCGUUUAUGUAAUAGUUGAGCUAGGGUGAUUGUGCGGAAUUGGAAUGGAUGGAUUCGACCGUGUACGGUUUAAAUUUGGAUUGCCUUUUGUGUAAUAGCUUAGUAGCAGGGUUUGUAAUGAAUGAUUUGACUUGGAUGGAUGUACGUGUACAUUCCGCUGCGUUUAUGAGAUAUAAUUCUUGGAAAUUUGAUGUAUAUAUUUGAAUCUUGUAUUGAAGUUUUUGGAGAACUGUAGUGAUUGACGGAGUCCUG
rnacentral:lncRNA from 1 species